GACGAACCGUCCAAACGUUAUUCGGAAUUACUGGGCUUAAAGGGUGCGUAGGCGGCGCGGUCAGUCGGAUGUGAAAUCGUACAGCUCAACUGUACAACUGCGUCCGAAACUGCCGUGCUUGAGGAAGGCAGAGGUGAGCGGAACUCAGGGUGGAGCGGUGAAAUGCGUUGAUAUCCUGGGGAACACCGGUGGCGAAGGCGGCUCACUGGGCCUUUUCUGACGCUGAGGCACGAAAGCUAGGGUAGCGAACAGG
rnacentral:rRNA from 1 species